rnacentral:rRNA from 1 species
UACGUAGGGGGCGAGCGUUGUCCGGAUUUAUUGGGCGUAAAGGGCGCGUAGGCGGCUGUACAAGUCAAAGGUGAAAUCCCUCGGCUCAACUGAGGAACUGCCUUUGAAACUGUACGGCUUGAGGCCGGGAGGGGGUAGCGGAAUUCCCAGUGUAGCGGUGAAAUGCGUAGAUACUGGGAGGAACACCAGUGGCGAAGGCGGCUACCUGGACCGGUUCUGACGCUGAGGCGCGAAAGCGUGGGUAGCAAACAGG